rnacentral:rRNA from 1 species
CUUGGUCAUUUAGAGGAAGUAAAAGUCGUAGCAAGGUUUCCGUAGGUGAACCUGCGGAAGGAUCAUUACCGAAUCUCGGGGGGAUGUCUAGUAUUUCGGAGUGCUGUCGCUGGCCUUCGGGCAAUGUGCACGUCUCCGGAGUCCGACGGCGUCCCCUCUCCGAUACCUUCUUAAACACCUGUGUGCACCUGUUGUAGGUCUCGUCACUGGGACCUAUGUAUUCCAUAUAAACUCGCAUGUAUACAGAACGUUGUCCAAUAUAAUAUAACUUUCAGCAACGGAUCUCUUGGCUCUCGCAUCGAUGAAGAACGCAGCGAAUCGCGAUAAGUAAUGUGAAUUGCAGAUUUUCCGUGAAUCAUCGAAUCUUUGAACGCACCUUGCGCUCCUCGGUAUUCCGAGGAGCAUGCCUGUUUGAGUGUCAUCGAAAUCUCAAAUCCCGCUCGGGGUUUGGACUUUGGGAGUCUGCCGGCGACCCGACCUCGGGACGUCGGCUCUCCUCAAAUGCAUUAGCGGUGGGCGCGAGCCUUUGCACGGCACGGCCUGUUUUCGACGUCGUAGUGAUCGUCGCGGGCUGGAAGUGCUCGGAUCGACAUGUCUCAUGCUUCCAAGCUUAGUAAAUAUUUAAGGCUUGACCUCAAAUCAGGCAGGACUACCCGCUGAACUUAAGCAUAUCAAUAAGCGGAGGA